rnacentral:rRNA from 1 species
AUGUUGAAAUACCAGUUCCUGUAUGAUCACUGAAGUUAAGCAAUGUCAAGCUUGGUCAGUACCUAGAUGAGUGACUGCUUGAGAAUACCAGGUGCUA